rnacentral:lncRNA from 1 species
ACAAUAUAAUGGGAUGAUUUAUAAGGUGGAAGAUGAUAUACUCUACUAAAUGUUGCUACAUUUUGCUAUUGACUUGUAUGAUAUUCCCAUAUUGGCAGUAGUUAUGCAAUUUUUAAGUGAAUGUAUUUGCACCUGCGUAUAAGGCUACUAUCAUGCUUAAUGUGUUUCUCUAUCUGAACCUCUUUGAUAGAGAGGGGGAGAGAGUCAGCGACAAGUAUUCUUUCUUAGUUGUCCUCAGUAACCAUAAGGGUUACUUUUACAACAUCUUAUAUGCAAAAGCAGAAGAAAGAUCAUGUCACCUAUACUGCAGCGGAACAAAAUUUUGUUCUGAACUGAACAGUAAUCUGAAGCCAUGCUUAGGUUGUGUCCCCAAAUCUGUCAUUGUGACACUAUAACUACAAUUGGAUGGAAGGGUUGGUAACUCAAAAUCAAAUCCCAAAUCCUCUUGAACAGUUUUAAAUCUUAUCUACACCCAUUUCUCAGUGUCACAUUGCUUUAACAAUCACUUGAACUGUAAAGAUUUAAGAUUUACAACAAUAAAAACCCCACAUAAAGUGCAGUAAUAUCAGAUUCUGUCUAAUUUGCUCUCCAAUCCGGCUACUACCUUUUGUUUGUCUCUAGCUGGCGAUGUAUGUAGUCCAGAACAAACUUUCCGCCUCUUUCUGACAUUAUAUGAAGCAUAAUGUAUUUGGUCAUUACAAAUCUAGUCAUAGAAUUCAUAACAGACAUGUACUGUCACAUACACGUGUACUCCAUGUUCUACUUCUAGUUAUACGGUUUAUACCAAUCUACUGCUAAUGUAAUUGCUUUCACAAGCAUGGGGUCUAUAGAAACAUCUCUUCGCAGAGACAUACAUAGAAGUGGAAAGAAAUAGACACAAUAAAAAAGAAAUGUGAAAUAAGAGAAAAGGAAAUAAAAGUUUACAAUAAACACCCUUUCUGAUGUUCCUCGCAUUCUGGUUCUCAUUAUUUUUAUUAGCACCUGCCUAUACGUACGCUAUGCUAGAAAUGCAGAGGAAACUACAUAAGACUUUUGUGCCACAAAAGAGGAGAGUUUGACAUGUUCUAUCCUCUCUCAAGGUCACAUUUAAAGAUAUUUCUUUUCCUACUUCUGCAAGGAGGUCCAUGCCAUGCCUUAUUUGUUUCAACACGCAAUACUAAUCUAGUCUUCCUGAGUCUUUCAUCUAUUCGUUCUUCUAAAGGUCAAAAAGCAACAUAGAAAGUGUGUAUAAGACCUUUCCCUUAGAUAUUAUAGCUACUACAAAAUAAUUCAACACGAAAGCAAUAAUUUCUUUAUACUGAUGAAUAGGAUUUGAAAACAAAUUUAACAAUUCAUUAGGACGUUGUACCGGAAACAGCCCAACCCAGUAUCUUAUAGUAAUAUUGGGGGGGGGGGGGGGGGGGGGGUCGGUUACAGUCUUCUCUUCUAGAUUCAAUUGUNNNNNNNNNNNNNNNNNNNNNNNNNGANGGGGGGGGCUUAACAGNCUUCUCUUCAGUAUUCAAUUGAUGUUACGUCAGUUAAAGUUUAAGGAAUUCUAGAGGAAAAAAUUUCUUUGGACAACAUUCUAAAGCUUACCAUGCAUUACUGGUUUUCAUUCUGCAAUGGCAACAUUAUUGCUCUUUUUGAAAGGCAGAUAGUAGGUAUUCCCAUGUCUUCAUGACCAUUCACCCAUUACUAGUGAUUAGGAAAAAAUCCGAACAAUGGCUACUUGCCUAGAGAAAAUAAUAUGAUAUUUACAUAACUUGCUUUCUUAUAAACAAUGAGAACAUGCUUUCUUUAAACAAAAUUGACUCAGCAAUUUGAUCCAUACUGAUUGAUGAAUGAAGCUAGAAUAACAGGAGGAAGAGAAAAACCUAUAUGUAGGUCCCAAUUUCACUGGGAUGUUGUUGUUGUUGUUGUAGGUCCCAAUUUCAGAGCGAACUCAAUAACAGCAGCCAUUCACUUUGUUAAGCUUUUUCAUGCAAUUAAGCUCAAGUAACUAGGAGAAAAAAGAAGAAAAACUACAAUUUAGGCCGUUAUACAUUAGUGAGAGGCUUGAUGAACAUUGACCGAUUUAAUUGUUUCUGUCCUAAUUCACAAAGUAGAUAAUUAUUAGCACGACAAGUAUGGGUGAAGUUGAUGCAAUGUGAAACUUCUAGAUAUAGAAUAAAUUUUCCUCUUUUUUUUCAUGUGAUGAGUGUCUGCCUAGGAUAGAUGAUAAAGAAAACAGAGCAACUGGAACUUCAUAACAACUUUAUGAUACUGCAAUGAUCAAUGUAUAUGAAUACCUUUCAAGUCAGCACAUCAAUCAGACAAAUCUGAACAGUUUUGCUAUUUUGGCAGCAUGAAAUCGGUGAUUGAAAGAUACAACAAAGCAAAGGAGGAGACUCAUAAAUUGGGAGAUCCAAUUUCCGAGGUCAAGGUAGGUUUUGCUAGCUAAUUUGCAGUCAACUAGUCAAAGGAAAUAAAGCAUAAUAGUUUCCUGCAUACUUGUUAAAUAGACGUAAGGCCUAACUCAACCCAAAAGCUAGCUCAAGAGGUGAGGAUUGCUCAAGUCCAUAUAAGGAGACCACUCAUCCCCUUCAUUGUCGAUGUGGGACUCAACAUCCCCUCUCAAGCCUAGGACUGGACAUCUGUAGCGUGGACAAUUAUGGGGCCUAACAUCGGAAAAUCGGGAUGGGUCCUGCUCUGAUACCAUAUGGAACAACCCAUCCCGCUAGUGAUAUUAUCCGCUUUCGGCCUAGGCCUUCACGGGUUUAAAACGCGUCACUAGAGUCUAAGGCAUGUCUACUUAUAUAGACAACAUCUCUCUCGUAUUUUGUUGAUGUGAAAUUUGCCUAGGGUGUUAAGGACUCAGUUUACCCCACCACCGUUCAAGGUUGCACGCGGAGUGACUCUGAUACCAUGUUAAUAGGACAUUGGGCCUAAAUCAACUCCAAAAGCUAGCUCAAGAGGUGAGGAUUGCCCAAGUCCAUAUAAGGAGACCAUCCAUCCCCUUCAUUAUCGAUGUGGGACUCAACACUCCUAUUAAUUGUACAUUAUUUAUGAAAUACCAAAAAGAACUUCCUUUCAUGCUAAAAUCCUUAGGGUUCUCUUGUCCUCCAAGCAUAGUGUCUAAAUUAGAAUACACUCUGAAAAGAACAAAGUGGUAUGACCUCAGAAACAAAACCAGAGUCAUAAUUUGGUCUGCUAAGGAAAACAAAGAAUAGGACUAGGCAUUUGACUUUUCAGAAGAUUACAAGUCGUGGCACUAGCAGGGAAAAAGUACAUGACUUUAAAGCACUUAUUUUUAUAACUGUGGUGUCCGGGCCAACUUGCGUGCACCUCAACUAAUUCCACAAGGUACCUCUUAUCUUCCACCAACACAGGUACUGGGUAACUCUGUCCAUCAAGGCUUGGACAGAUGGAAAAAAAUCACCUACUGUUUUUACCUCCGCUGGGAUUUGAGCCUUUACAGCACAUUAUACUGGUAUCAAGCUUUUUUGACAACGUAAAAGAAUCAGGACUUUACAGCACAUUCUUUCAUGCAUCUGCAGUCUUCUUGUUUGUUUUGUGCACUAAAGCAUACAUCUUAUAAGCGUCUUUACUAUAGAAAGCUUUGCUUCUUUGAGUGCCAAAAUGUUUCUGCACAUCUAAAUUAUCUUGACGUUCAAUAGUAUCCAAGUUUAAGACACCAAAACUGUUAUUUUUACCUUAUAACCGGAGGCGGAGCCAGAAAAAUUUAUAGGUUCUAAACUUGCUAUCGAGCCCAUAACUCGUCUUAGUUACUGGAUUUACAAUUAAAUAACUAUGCACAUUUAAUGAAUUUCCUAACACGAAUACAGGGUCUAAGCAAAAGCUACUGAGUUCGUCUGAACCCUAGGUGAUACUCUAACUCCACCCCAACUUACAAUAACAACAAUAAUUAUGCCUCGAUCCCAAGCAAGUUGGUUUCGAUUAUAUGAAUCAUCACUUUUUCAUUUAAGCUAUGAUAAGAAUGGAUCUUUGGCCUAACUCAACCCAAAAGCUAGCUUGUGAGGUGAUGAUUGCCCAAGACCAUAUAAGGAGACCAAGAUACCCAUAACCCACCGAUGUGGGACACAACUCAACACCCCCCCCCCCUCUCAUGCCCAGGUCUGCAACUGGAGCGUGGACAACAUAAAUGGGGGCCCAACAUCGAUAACAAUAAAUUGGGAUGGGUCUGACUCUGAUACCAUGAUAAGAAUGGACCUUGGGCCUAACUCAACCCCAAAANN